UUAUGGCGGCGUAGGGCUUCGGCUGUCGAGAAGAACCCUUGCCUUUUUGAGUACCUUUCGUUUCCUCGGCAGCCUCGGCUGCCAAUGGGGACCCCAAAAAACACUUUGCAGUACCUGUAACAGUCUGAACAAACAAACAAAAAUUAAAACUUUCAACAACGGAUCUCUUGGUUCUGGCAUCGAUGAAGAACGCAGCGAAAUGCGAUAAGUAGUGUGAAUUGCAGAAUUCAGUGAAUCAUCGAAUCUUUGAACGCACAUUGCGCCCUUUGGUAUUCCUUAGGGCAUGCCUGUUCGAGCGUCAUUUAAACCUUCAAGCUCAGCUUGGUGUUGGGUGACUGUCCGCCGCCCCCGGGCGCGUGGACUCGCCUCAAAAUUAUUGGCGGCCGGUACAUUGGCUUCGAGCGCAGCAGAAACGCGAACUCGGGCCCGUCGUAUUGGCUCCCAGAAGCUAUCUUCACAAUUUUGACCUCGGAUCAGGUAGGGAUACCCGCUGAACUUAAGCAUAUCAA
rnacentral:rRNA from 1 species